rnacentral:rRNA from 1 species
UACGGAGGAGGCAAGGGUUUUCCGGAAUUAUUGGUUGUAAAGCGUCCGUAGGUGGUUUUCCAAGUCAGCUGUCAAAGGAUGAGGCUCAACCUCAUAAGGGCAGUGCAAACUGGUGCGCUAGAGUGCGGUAAGGGUACGGGGAAUUCCUGGUGUAGCGGUGAAAUGCGUAGAUAUCAGGAAGCACACAGGUCGCGAAAGCGCCCUACUGGGCAUGCACUGACACUGAGGGACGAAACCUAGGGGAGCGAAAGGG